rnacentral:lncRNA from 1 species
GUUCCCAGGUGCUGCUGGUCCAGAGCCCACCCUUGGAGAACCACUGGGCUAUAGAAUGAUGUCAAGGGCUGGAGAGGGAGGCUACAGAGUGGGUCUAGGUCCAGGUACAGUCUCAGAACCACACUGCAAAACUGGCUUAGUCAGGUAGCUGCUGUAUCUGCUGCUUCCACUGUGAACUCAAAAACCACAUUGCCUGUGCUGCAGGCCGGAAAGCUGCUGAACCAGGAAGCUGUGCUGAUGCUGCUGACUGCCCCUGAGGUUAGAGAUUGACUAGACAUAGUGCCACUGUCAUCCCUGCUGGAGAAGGUCCGAAGCACCUCCACCUCUGUGCUUCCAGAGGGGCACUGUGGUGGCCACUUAAAAUGCUCAGGCUAUACCAUGCACUAGAGCAUCUACCUGGGCAAGGGAUAUGCUGUAUGACACUCUCCUGAUGCUGGGCAUGGCUGUGAGCCAAAGCACCCAGGCAGCCCUGCCAUCAGAAGGGUAAACCACGGACACCUGAUGCCUUCCUGAAGGAAGAGCACUACGCCUGCCAAACCAUCAAGCGUUGAUGCUCCAGCGCCUUCUACCCGUGGUUCUCCAGCCUCAGCAGAAGAGAGAGAAAUUGAUGACCCUGUCGUUGUAGCAUCCCCAUCACCCAGCAAUUAAUUUUAGUUCAAUGCUUCAAACGCUCUUCAGGCGCAGUGUGCGUUCAGCUGUGUCAGCUAAUGCAAAUGGGGGAUCUCAGAAGUCUUAAUGAAGUAACUAUCCCUGAACACUGGGAUCAAUACUCAGCAUCCAGCUGUCAAAUCAACACCAAGCGUUUCACUCGUCGCCCAGCCUAGAGUGCAAUGGCGCUAUUUCGGCUCAUUAUAACCUCCGCCUCCCGGGUUCAAGCAAUUCUUCUGCUUCAGCGUCCCAAGUAGCUGGGAUUACAGCCGCCUCCUGGAGCAGAUUGUUAAGCUGAUGCGAGUCUGGGCUCUGCCUCACCACUUGUCUCAGAGAAUGUCCAGUGCUAGGAGACUCAUAAGUUGGAGAGAAACGGCCUGAUUUAUAGAAACUGAGCGAGACUCCGGACCACCUGAUGCAGAGAAACCUGUGACCUGAAAAAGUCUAUUUGUGUUUCCUCUAGGAAUCUCGGCCAAGAAGACAGGGACAAGCUCCCAACUCUGACUACCCCUUUUACAGGGAAAAAAAAAAAAUCCCGUGCCUUCUUUGCAGCAAGUGACAAAUCCUUGUCAUAUCGAGAUGGCUUUUCCUCCUCCUCUUCAAACAUCUUUUAGCAGCAACAGCAGCUCAAGUAACUGGAAUUAUUUCAGAGUUAAAAUGCAGGCUUUGUAGACCCUCUUAGACAGACAGAUUCAAUUUCAAAGGAAACUUCUUUGGCUGGGUACUCAGUGAGUGUUACACAGGGAUUUGGGGAGUUAAUAUUCACUGUUUCUGUUGUUGGAGAAAAGGAAAGCAGAGUUGCUCUUUCUCAUUACUCUCCCCAACGCACAUCUGUUUCCUCUCGUAUCUUGGAAUUAGGAAGAUGGAGGAGACUUAAGUGGUGACCCACCUAGCCUCCUGAUGCAUGCUGGGCUCACUUUAAAACUCCCAAAACAGAUGGCAGUUGAUCACGGUUUUAAAGAUCCCAGCAUAGACUUUCUGCAGCCUCCCUUGUUAGCCACUAUCAGCGCUUAACAUUCUGUCAUCUGAAUAACUCCUUAAAAAUGAUAGCAAUGGUAGUAGAAAUUUAAAAGGAACCUCCCAAAAAACAUGCAAAAGCUUACCACCCCAGUAAAUCACCCGCAACAAUGUCGCAACAGUUUAAAUUUACUGCAGAGAGAGCUGAAGUUUAGGAGACACAGCUUUAUAAUAUUUUUGAGAGAUAGUUGAGUGCAAAUGAGUCCUGUUCCUCUUGCAUCAGGGCCUGCUCCACUGAGUCAUCCUGCCUUCAGAAGCUUCCAGCUAAGUGGCAGGCCCCGGCCAUAGGCUCCCUGUGUCCCCAGCCUCCAGAGAACACACAAUGUUCUCAUCGCCCUUAGCUCCAUUCCAGAAGGGGCCUGCAGUUCUGCAGCUUAUCAGGGGUCUACUGGGAAGUGAGAUGUCACUGUCCCUUUCUGGCCCUGCAUUGUCUGUGAGUGGCUCUCCUGGAUUAAGAGUUGGCAAAGUAUGGCCAGUGGCCAGGACUGGCCUGCUGCCUGUUUUUGUUUAACCCGUGAGCUAAGAAUAGUUUUUACCUAUUUUAAGUAGUUGAAAAAAAAAUCAAGAGAAGAAUACUAUUUCGUGAUAUGUGAAAAAUCACAUGAAAUUCAAAUGUAAGUGUCCAUAAAUAAAGUCUUACUGGAAGACAGCCUUGCUCAUUUAUUUCUGUCUCAUUCGCUACUGUCUGCGGCUGCCUUCACGCUACAAUGGCAGUACUGAGUAGUUGUGACGGGCACUGUAUGACAGCAAAUCCUAAAGUAUUUGCCAUCUGGCCCUUCACAGAAAAAGUUUGCUGACCCUGGCUUUCGAGCCUCUCAUCACUUUGGGAUUCAUCUCUUUACUUUCCCCAGAGUGAGGGAGGCAGUAACGUUCCUCGUGAGUGCUUAGUCCUUGCUCCCAAGGCAAUAAACCCCCCAAAACCCCUCUCUUUCUGCAGUCUUCUUGUUGGCUUGAUAGUGGUAGGGCUGGUUCAGCCAAGGUCACAGUUGGAGGGCAGGAAGGGGGUACAGCGAAGGACGACGGGGGUGUCUUCUCUAGUCCUGUUUGCAGCAAUCUUUAGAAUGCAAAAUAAUUAAGAAGAAACUGCUGUUUUUUGGCUGUGGGAUGCAAUUCGAAUUCUGGAAAAUUAGAAUCAACAGAACGUGGGAUGUGGGAGUCCAGGACAACUCCCCUGUUUUGGCUGUGUUUGGUGCCAUGUGUGGAGGUGGGAGAGAUGGGAGAAAGAAGAGGUUUGGGCAGGGGGAGGGAAGAAUCAAGAUUCUGCUUUGAAUGGACGAAGGUUGUGGUUUGUUGAGAGGACAACUAGAUAACUGGCCACUUGAAGAUGGGAUGGAAGUCUGAAUCUGCAAGGAGUCACAGAUGAAUGGUAUGGAAAGCUGUGGUAGUGGAUGAGAUCAUACGAACGGUGGGUGCAGAUGGAAACGAGAAGCCAUCUAAGGACUCGUAAUGGGCUCCUCAACACUUGGAAGUUGGGUAGAGGAAGAAGACCGCAUGAGGGCAGGAUCCUGAAUGUUCCACUCACUGCUAUAUCCCUAGCACUGGUUACAGUGCUUGGCACACACUGCAUGCUCAAUAAAUUAUUUGUUGCCCAUAUAAGUGAACGUGAAUUCCAAUGGACUAGCAUCUUCCACUCUCAACAUAAACAAAAACAACAGCAACAUUGCAAUUCCCUAUCUUCUCUUCCCUGAUCUCUUUCUCAUUCUGUCUCUCCUUCCCUUUUCCUCUGCCUUCCUGUUGCCUUCUCUGAUAUGAGUUAAAUUUAUCAGGGGUGUCCAGGUACCCGGCUAUUCUUGAGCAUUCCUUAUCUGGCUACAACUCUGGGUGACACUGGUUACUAGUUUAGUGAACGAGCCAACAUAUAUUCUUCUUUUUGUCUACAUAGUUUUUUUUAAUGUUAAACUUGUUCCUAUUGCACCUCACUCUUUAUGAACUGUCAGUUAAUGCUAUUUUGGCUCUAUUCCUACCUUAGACGGAUGCUUGACAACUUGGUGUCAUCUGACCUUAAUUAGGACAUUCUUGGUUAAGACAUUGUUGGUGUAAAGAGAGAGAUGUUCAGUAUGGGGUCCUCUCUGACAUGAGUAAGGUCACAGAGGAUGUCCCUAGGUGGAGGCUGAGUCAUCGAUAGGCUGCCUUUUGGGUGAUAUUAUUCAGCUCUUUGUGCCUGCACUUAAGACAGAAGAGAGUCUCUCUUAUUUCCUUCUAUCUAAUUGAUGAAAAGUCAUUUGUGAUGGAAUCUAAGGUCAGAUUCCAGCACAAAGAGAUUACAUCUCUUGCUCAUUCUUUAUCUACAUGGCCUAUCUACCAUCAAAGAAAAUUAAAUUGGUCUGCCAAGAUCUGAUCUACACAUACCAUUGAGAUGAGUGCAAAUUGAUUGCUUGUUUUUGCUAGAGUCACUCUUGGCACAGAAGAGAAGUGGACUUCUAUCAAUCACGGCCUGCUUGGGAGUUGCGUGGGGUGGGGCGAGGGACGUUAGAGAGACUUGACAAGGCUGGAGGCCAUGUUCAGCACCAGGCAUUAUGCCAAGCACUUGACAAGGAUUUUCUCAACUAAUAUUCACAAAUGCCCAGCGAGGUUGGUAUGAUUACAUCUGCUUUCUAGUUAAGGAAACUGAGGCUGAGAAGGCAGAGUGUCAUGUUUGAGGUCACACACUGGUAAGUGGCAGAAGCAGAACGGGAACUUCACAUCCUUCACGCUGAGUCCAGCAGUUAUAAAUGUGUGGUAUUCCAAACAGUAUCGCAUUGCAGGGAAGACAAUCUUUAAACUCCCAAAGCUUCAAACAUAACCAGGAUACAGAUCACUUCCAAAUGUUUAGCUCUGCCCUCUAAAAUCCAGCCGACAUCUCCAACUGCCUUCUGGACAUUUCUACUAGGACAUCCUUCUAAAGGCUAGAGCACAAUGUAGAAACUCAAAUAACCAUCUUCCCUUCAAAAUCCUGGCCUCUGCUCCUCACUGUCCCGUUUCUUCAUGGUAUGUCAUUCUGCCAAACUUCUCAAAACCUGAGUUAUUCUGAAUCUCUCCUCAGAGAUUGUAUCCCUAAAACAUUUCUUAUCUCCAUCUCUAUCUCCAUUUUCACUAUCACUACC